rnacentral:lncRNA from 1 species
GUGGUACCUUUUUGGUUGCUAAUUUCUAGACCUUGGUUGCUACAAAAUCAAAGAAAAAAGAUCAAAAAAGAAAAAAAAAGAUCAAAAAAAGGAUCAACGAGUUGAUCACGAUCCAGACUUCGUUCAGAUUUAUAGAAUAAUCAUUCUUAGAGAAGAAAGAUCAAUACUAUAGAGGGCUGUUCUAGAUUGAUCCUGAGUGGAUAUCCA